AUGCUUAUUCCUCAUGAUGUUGAUAUGGUGAAUGACAGUACUAAAUCAUUUCCUGGCGAAAAGGAUCAAAUUCUUUCUAUGAAUAAUAAGGAAAACCAGAACAUGUUAAAUCCUGUUGGAGUCAAGGCAGAAACUGCAUUGCAUACAAACCAAUCUCCCGUGAGGGAAGAAAUUAAUCUCGAGGAAGCAGCUCUAGUUAUUGAGACUAUACGACGUGAUGAGUUUGGUUUGGAUCAGGCUCUAAGCUGCACCGAGAAUAGUUUGUUGACAAAGCAGCAUGCUCGACUUGGCCGAGCACUGCAUUGUCUUUCACAAGAAUUAUACUCUCAGGAUUCUCACCUACUUCUUGAGCUGGUACAGAAUGCUGACGAUAAUACUUAUCUUGAGGAUGUUGAACCCACAUUAGCAUUCGUUCUUCAGGAUAAUGGUAUUGUUGUUCUCAACAAUGAGAGGGGCUUUUCUGCUGAGAACAUUAGAGCUCUUUGCGAUAUUGGUAACUCAACAAAGAAAGGAGCCAAUAGGGGUUAUAUUGGAAAUAAGGGCAUUGGAUUUAAAUCAGUAUUUCGGGUAACUGAUGCUCCAGAGAUCCAUUCAAAUGGUUUCCAUGUGAAAUUUGACAUUACCGACGGCCAGAUUGGUUUUGUAUUGCCAACUGCAGUUCCACCCUACAAUACUAGCUCUUUGAGUAGAAUGUUAUCUGUUGAAGAUGACAAGGACGCUUGUUCCCGCUGGAAUACUUGCAUUUUACUUCCCUUCAGAUCUAAAUUCAGGGAUGACACUGGCAUGUGCUCCAUUGCAUCCAUGUUUUCAGAUCUCCACCCAUCUCUGCUUCUGUUCCUUAACCGACUAAAUUGUAUCAAGUUUAAGAAUGUGGUGAAUGACACACUGCUGGUUAUGAGAAGGAAGGCUCUUGGUGAUGGCAUUGUGAGGAUCUCACAUGGGAAUGAGAUAAUGAGUUGGUUGGUAGUUAGUAAGAAGUUACAGGGCACACUUGUACGCCAUGAUGUGCACACUACAGAGAUAGCUCUGGCAUUUACUUUGCAGGAGACUGAGAAAGGAGAGUAUGAACCUUACUUGAAGCAACAGCCUGUGUUCGCUUUUCUACCUCUAAGGAACUAUGGUCUUAAAUUCAUUCUUCAAGGGGAUUUUGUUUUACCUUCUUCCAGAGAGGAAGUGGAUGCAGAUAAUGCAUGGAACCAGUGGUUGUUAUCCGAAUUCCCCUCUUUGUUUGUCAGUGCACAAGAAUCCUUUUGUUCCCUUCCCUGCUUCCAGAGUUGCCCUGGAAAGGCUGUUACAGCAUUCAUGAGUUUUGUUCCUCUAGCAGGAGAAGUUCAUGGAUUCUUUUGCAAGCUCCCUCACUUAAUCCUUUCCAAGUUACGUCUGAAUAGGUGCAUGGUUUUGGAGGGUUCUAGUUCGCAAUGGGUCUAUCCAUGCAACACAUUAAGGGGUUGGGAUGAACAGACUAAAAUGCUGUUUUCUGAUGGCUUACUUCAUCAGCAUCUUGGUCUUGGUUAUCUGUCAAAAGAUAUCAUCAUACCUGAUACAUUAUCAAGGGCCCUAGGUAUUCACGAUCAUGGACCAAAUGUUUUUAUUGAUAUGGUAUCAUCAAUUUGCCGAACUGAGGGUUGCAUUGAGUCACUGGGGAUGGAAUGGCUAUGUGCUUGGUUUGUAAAUCUUCAUUUGGCGCUGUCACGUUCUUUUCAAAAUAUUCCCUCGACAACAAGCCUGGAAGGUGAUCUUUUAUGUGCUCUCAGGAAAUUACCAUGCAUUCCACUUUCAGAUGGUUCAUUUAGUUCUGUAGCAGAUGGCCCUAUAUGGUUGCCUCAUGAUAUUCUCGGUUCCACACCUGACUGCAAAGGUAGCAUGAAGGAUUUCCCAAUUCUGUAUGGUAACCUUCGAUUUGUUAGUCCAUUGCUUUUCUCUGUGUCCUGUAAAAAUAAAUACCUUAUAGAAGAAAUGAGAGCUAACGAUCUGACGGAUAUUCUUCUGAAAAUCGGGGUGCGAAAGUUGUCUGGACAUGAAAUUAUCAAAAAUCACAUCCUCACAUCCUUGCCAAAUGGUACAGAUGCUAAGAAGGUUGAUAAGAUGAUGAUGAUAGAGUAUGUGAGUUUUAUCAUGCUUCAUCUUCAGUCUCCAUGUACAAGCUGUAAUUUUGGGAAGGAAGAGAUAAUGUCAGAACUACGAAGUAGACCCAUCUUACUUACAAACCAUGGCUACAAGUGCCCAGCUGAUGAACCAAUUCACUUUAGUAAAGAAUAUGGAAGUCCUGUGGACAUAGGCAAGCUACUUCAGAAUGUUGAAAUCAGAUGGAUAGAACUUGAUAGUGGUUACUUGAUGAAUCAUGGUUCAGAUUUGCUGCCAUCUGUGCUGAAAAGUUGGAGGCAAUUUUUUGAGGAGAUGGGUGUGACUGAUUUUGUGCAUGUAAUGAAAGUUGAGAAAAACAUAUCCCAAGUUGAUUCUUUGAUAGCAGGAAGAAUUUUGCAAGGUGGUGUUUCUGGAACAUCCUGUACAGUGUAUGACUGGGAGUCACCAGAACUGGCUAACAUUUUAUCAUCAUUUUCUUCAAAAAAUUGCCGAGAAAAUUGCAUAUAUCUUCUGGAGGUUCUUGACAGUUUCUGGGAUGAUCAUUAUAGUGCAAAAGCUUGGUGUCUCACAAGCGGGACCAGUUGUGAUGGAAGCAGAACAGUCGAGUCAUCCUUUAUGAAAUGUAUCAGAAGCUUCAAAUGGAUAGCGUCAACUGUGGAUUAUGACCUUCAUACUGCAACGGAUUUGUUUUAUGAUUGUGAAAACGUGCGUUCCCUGCUUGGUGGUGUGGCCCCAUAUGCUGUACCUCAGGUAUCCAGCAGGUCACUAAGGAAGGAUAUUGGAUUCAAAACAAAUGUAUCCCACAGUGACGCUUUAAUGACCCUGAACUUAUGGAUGACAUCACAAGUUCCAUUCAGCGCAAGUGUGGACCAGAUGUGCAAAUUCUAUACCUUCGUGUCAGAAGGUGCAGCUGAUGCAAAGAUUGACAUCAAACGGGAGUUGAUGUCAUGCUCAUCUAUAUUUACACCACUAAUCCGUGCUCGAUCUAGUGAGGUCGUACAUGGUAAAUUUUUAUCCCCAAAAGAUCUCUAUUGGCAUGACCCAACAGGUUGUUCUGAAACGACAGAGGAAUUCGUUUUGGUGAAGAAUAGAAUGUUCCCAAGAAGGAUGCUGUGCUCAACCUAUCCAAACCUUUGUGAAUUCUUUACGGAAGCAUGUGGUGUGCCAAAAGUUCCAACAACAGCUGAUUAUGUAGAGAUGCUCUUACGGCUAUCUAAAGUUGCACUGCCUUCACAAGUAGCCCAUCAGGUCUUCCGUGUAUUUGUGAGAUGGGCUACCGAUAUCCAUUCUGUGAAUGACAAGAACGAUCUAGUUUAUGUGAAAGAUUCUCUUCAGAAGCUGGAGACAACGAUAUUGCCAACCCUGGUUGAUAAAUGGGUCUCUCUCCAUCCAUCUUUUGGUCUUGUUUGCUGGUCAGAUGAUGAUGAGUUGAAACAACACUUUCAGAACUGUAUUGAUGUUGACUUCAUACAAUUUGGUACACUUUCUUCUGAGGACAAGCAAAUCUUGCAUGGAAGAGUUGCUGCACUGAUGAAAAGCCUAGGUAUCCCAGCUUUAUCCAAGGUUGUGCAUCGUGAAGCAAUAUUCUAUGGCACGGCUGACAACAGGGAAAAGGCUACUUUGCUUUGUGGACUGUUACCAUAUAUGCAACGCUACAUCUAUAAGACGCAUAGAGAUGCAUAUAUCAACUUUCAGCAAAAUGAGAUCAUGAAGCUUAGCAAUCUUCAGAUUAUUGUCGUUGAAAAGUUGUUCCACAAGUAUAUGCUUAAAGGACAUGAGAGUUCUUCUAAGAAAAGAUUCAAAUGCAAUUGUCUUCUGCAGGAAAAUAUUCUGUAUGCUACGCAAGAAGCUGAUUCACAUUCAUUGUUUCUGGAAACUUCUAGAAUUUUCUUUGAUGGGUCCCCUGAUCUGCACUUUGCGAAUUUUCUGCACAUGGUCAAAACCAUGGCAGAAUCUGGCACCUCAGCUGAACAGGUUGAGUCUUUUGUCGUUAAUAAUCAGAAUGUGCCUGCAUUGCCUGAAGAUGAAGCGGUUUGGUCCUUUUCUUCCUCGUUUGUGCCAGAGUUUGUACCCGACCAAGGUGUUGAUUCCAAACCGGUUGAAACCUCAUCCGCCUGUGUUCUCAAUAUUCACAAACAACAUCAGAGGUCAGACGGAACUGUUUCAAGUUGGCCACCUAAUAAUUGGAGAACAGCUCCUGAUUUUAGAACAUCUCGCAGAAGUCAGCGUGGACCCCUGCAAGAUACAAAGGUGAAUGAUGAUAAUUGGCUUCCUGGACCCCUGCAAGAUACAGAGGUGAAUGAUGUUGAGCUCACAAAUACAGAAGAUAAUUGGUUUCCUGUUCAGCUUGACGAGGAUUGGGUUAUAGAAGAGGAUACGAGUCUAGAAAGUAAUUUACACACAGAAAGCACAGUGGCAACAUUGGACGAGCCUCAGAUGAUGAUGUCCAUUAACUCGGACGGUGCACCUGCUUAUUUGGACCUCGGGACCGGUUCACCUAGCGAGGUUGAGGUAAUGGAUUUCAGUGACAAAAUGCCAAAUGCUUCAGAACACAGGGAAAGGCUCCGCGCAGCCCAGUUACUAAAAACUGGCAGGGUUGGUGAAGCUGUAGCCUACAAACAUUUGGUUGAGCGGCUAGGGGCCAAGAACGUCAGGUGGGUUAAUGCAGACACCGAAACCGGACUGCCGUAUGAUAUUAUCAUCACCCGGGGAGAUAAUCGGAUAGAGUAUGUGGAGGUGAAGGCAACCACAACUUCAAACAAAAACUGGUUCUACAUCACAGCGAGGGAAUGGCAGUUUGCAUUGGAAAAGGGGGACGAUUUUAGCAUCGCCCGUGUCAUGGUGUCUGGCGAAAAGAUGGCAAAUAUUAAAAUGUUGAAAAACCCACACAAACUUUGUCAGAAGAAAAUGUUGCAUCUUGCUCUCUUGAUUGCCCGCCGGUAG
rnacentral:rRNA from 1 species